ACUCGUUAAUGGCACCAAAGAUCUCAUCAACUUUCCCAAUCUGUGUCUUGUUUUCCAGGUAGAUUGGGGCAUUGAAGUAAGGGAUCUUCGCCUGAGAGAGCUUGGUCACAGCAUCACCCUCACAAGCAUGGAGAAAGGUCGCAACUUCUGUUAUAACCAACAAAGUUAACCUUGUCAUAACGGAAUUAAAUAAUUUUCUUAAAAGCUGCUAUUUUUGGAAAGUUUUCAUUUUUUAGAGAAAUAUUGUAGAUUUGGGUUUGUGGUUUAGAAAUUAAGAUAACAAGAAUAUUUGUGGAUAUUUGAGUAUUUUUUUCAGAAUUAUUCAUCAAUAGGUUGUAUUUUUAAAUAAUUUUCUCAAAACCUGCUAUUUUUAGAAAGUUUUCAUUUUUUAGAGAAAUAUUGUAGAUUUGGGUUUGUGGUUUAGAAAUUAAGAUAACAAGAAUAUUUGUGGAUAUUUGAGUAUUCUUUCAGAAUUAUUCAUCAAUAGGUUGUAUUUUUAAAUAAUUUUCUCAAAACCUGCUAUUUUUAGAAAGUUUUCAUUUUUUAGAGAAAUAUUGUAGAUUUGGGUUUGUGGUUUAGAAAUUAAGACAACAAGAAUAUUUGUGGAUAUUUGAGUAUUCUUUCAGAAUUAUUCAUUAAUAGGUUGUAUUUUUAAAUAAUUUUCUCAAAACCUGCUAUUUUUAGAAAGUUUUCAAUUUUUAGAUAAAUAUUGUAGAUUUAGGAUAACACGAAUAUUUGUGGAUAGUUGAUUAUUCUUUCAGAGAUUUUCAUCAAUUGGUUAUAUUUUUAAAUAUUUUUUUAAAAAAAUUUCUGAAAUAAUACUCAACUGUCCACAUAUAUUACUGUUAUCACAGAGCUCAAUGAUUACUGGAAAUUAUCUACGUCAAAAUGUUUCAGUGCACUAACUUGUAUGCACCUAGUAUAAAUGUGUAGUAUUAGUGUAGUUAGUGGGUUUUGUGAGUGUCUGUCAUAGAAUUCGAAAAUUUUAUCAAAUUUUGUUUUUUUUGUUUUAUUUAGGCACAAAACGACAUUGUUUUGCACAAAUGAAUGCUUCCGAUUGUAAUAAAACAAGGAUCUCUAGUAACUGAUCAAAACAUUUUACUCACUUGAUAAACCACAAUAACAAAAACUAGAAUCUGGAAAACAAUCAUAUCAUUGUCAUGGUUUCUUAAAAGCAUUUUUCAUCAUCCAAGAUUAAAAGCAAAAAUUACAAGCCAAGGCUACAAUAGAUAGAUUAUUAGUAUCCUCCUCUCCCUCGGCCUCUGAAUCCUCCACGCCCCCUGGGAGCACCUCUUGAGGCGAAUCCUCCACGCCCCCUGGGAGCACCUCUGGAAGAGAAUCCUCCACGGCCCCUAGGAGCACCUCUGCCUCUCCCACGACUUCCCGUAGAUUGUCCCCUGCAACAAAAAAAACAGGCAAGACUCUUUGUUAAAGACUUGUACUAACACUUGAACAAGUAAAUUCUACUGCUUAACAGAAGCUAUCAUUUCCGCAAUGGGUUAAAAAGUGUGGCUUACUUUGGCUGUGGAAGGAAUCUCGCUAGAGGUAAUAGCUUAGCAGGGUCGAUGUAGAACUUAUCCCCUUCAGCGUAUGAGGUAGCUACAAUACCUUCCAUCAUCUUGAUGGAAAACAGCUGAAAAAAGGAACCAAUACUCUUAGUAUAAGUAAGCAAACUAAUGAUAGAAGAAAGCCACAUAGAGAGUGAACACAUACAGACUCGUUAAUGGCACCAAAGAUCUCAUCAACUUUCCCAAUCUGUGUCUUGUUUUCCAGGUAGAUUGGGGCAUUGAAGUAAGGGAUCUUCGCCUGAGAGAGCUUGGUCACAGCAUCACCCUCACAAGCAUGGAGAAAGGUCGCAACUUCUGUUAUAACCAACAAAGUUAACCUUGUCAUAACGGAGACAAGUCACAAAGUUUCUACCUUUUAACUUAAACACAAAGAUGAAUCUAACAAAAGGGCUAAGACAGUGAUUCAACUCAAAACAAAGGAACACUAAUAAGCAGGAAACAGUUCAUUCACAUUCAAAGCUGAGAACUUUAUCAAUAAAGUCUUAAGUUUUAUCGGUAAAACAACGAGCAGAGCAAGAAUAAGA
rnacentral:lncRNA from 1 species